UACGGGGGGGGCAAGCGUUGUUCGGAAUUACUGGGCGUAAAGGGCUCGUAGGCGGCCAACUAAGUCAGACGUGAAAUCCCUCGGCUUAACCGGGGAACUGCAUCUGAUACUGGAUGGCUUGAGUUCGGGAGAGGGAUGUGGAAUUCCAGGUGUAGCGGUGAAAUGCGUAGAUAUCUGGAGGAACACCGAUGGCGAAGGCAGCCAUCUGGACCGACACUGACGCUGAGGCGCGAAAGCGUGGGGAGCAAACAGG
rnacentral:rRNA from 1 species